GGGUUGUGAGGUUAAGCGACUAAGCGUACACGGUGGAUGCCCUGGCAGUCAGAGGCGAUGAAGGACGUGCUAAUCUGCGAAAAGCGCCGGCGAGGUGAUAUGAACCUUUGACCCGGCGAUGUCCGAAUGGGGAAACCCAGUGCAAUCCGUUGCACUAUCGUUAACUGAAUACAUAGGUUAACGAGGCGAACCGGGGGAACUGAAACAUCUAAGUACCCCGAGGAAAAGAAAUCAACCGAGAUUCCCCCAGUAGCGGCGAGCGAACGGGGAGCAGCCCGGAGUCUGAAUCAGCUUGUGUGUUAGUGGAACGGUCUGGAAAGUCCGACGGUACAGGGUGAUAGUCCCGUACACGAAAAUGCACAUGCUGUGAACUCGAAGAGUAGGGCGGGACACGUGGUAUCCUGUCUGAAUAUGGGGGGACCAUCCUCCAAGGCUAAAUACUCCUGACUGACCGAUAGUGAACCAGUACCGUGAGGGAAAGGCGAAAAGAACCCCGGCGAGGGGAGUGAAAAAGAACCUGAAACCGUGUACGUACAAGCAGUGGGAGCCUCUUUAUGGGGUGACUGCGUACCUUUUGUAUAAUGGGUCAGCGACUUAUAUUCUGUAGCAAGGUUAACCGUAUAGGGGAGCCGAAGGGAAACCGAGUCUUAACUGGGCGUUAAGUUGCAGGGUAUAGACCCGAAACCCGGUGAUCUAGCCAUGGGCAGGUUGAAGGUUGGGUAACACUAACUGGAGGACCGAACCGACUAAUGUUGAAAAAUUAGCGGAUGACCUGUGGCUGGGGGUGAAAGGCCAAUCAAACCGGGAGAUAGCUGGUUCUCCCCGAAAGCUAUUUAGGUAGCGCCUCGUGAACUCAUCUUCGGGGGUAGAGCACUGUUUCGGCUAGGGGGCCAUCCCGGCUUACCAACCCGAUGCAAACUACGAAUACCGAAGAAUGUUAUCACGGGAGACACACGGCGGGUGCUAACGUCCGUCGUGAAGAGGGAAACAACCCAGACCGCCAGCUAAGGUCCCAAAGUCAUGGUUAAGUGGGAAACGAUGUGGGAAGGCACAGACAGCCAGGAUGUUGGCUUAGAAGCAGCCAUCAUUUAAAGAAAGCGUAAUAGCUCACUGGUCGAGUCGGCCUGCGCGGAAGAUGUAACGGGGCUAAACCAUGCACCGAAGCUGCGGCAGCGACACUAUGUGUUGUUGGGUAGGGGAGCGUUCUGUAAGCCGUUGAAGGUGUGCUGUGAGGCAUGCUGGAGGUAUCAGAAGUGCGAAUGCUGACAUAAGUAACGAUAAAGCGGGUGAAAAGCCCGCUCGCCGGAAGACCAAGGGUUCCUGUCCAACGUUAAUCGGGGCAGGGUGAGUCGACCCCUAAGGCGAGGCCGAAAGGCGUAGUCGAUGGGAAACAGGUUAAUAUUCCUGUACUUGGUGUUACUGCGAAGGGGGGACGGAGAAGGCUAUGUCAGCCGGGCGACGGUUGUCCCGGUUUAAGCAUGUAGGCGGAGGUUCCAGGUAAAUCCGGUACCUUAUUAACGCUGAGGUGUGAUGACGAGGCACUACGGUGCUGAAGUGAUAAAUGCCCUGCUUCCAGGAAAAGCCUCUAAGCAUCAGGUAACACGAAAUCGUACCCCAAACCGACACAGGUGGUCAGGUAGAGAAUACCAAGGCGCUUGAGAGAACUCGGGUGAAGGAACUAGGCAAAAUGGUGCCGUAACUUCGGGAGAAGGCACGCUGAUGUGUAGGUGAAGCCCCUGCGGGCGGAGCUGAAAUCAGUCGAAGAUACCAGCUGGCUGCAACUGUUUAUUAAAAACACAGCACUGUGCAAACACGAAAGUGGACGUAUACGGUGUGACGCCUGCCCGGUGCCGGAAGGUUAAUUGAUGGGGUUAGCGGCAACGCGAAGCUCUUGAUCGAAGCCCCGGUAAACGGCGGCCGUAACUAUAACGGUCCUAAGGUAGCGAAAUUCCUUGUCGGGUAAGUUCCGACCUGCACGAAUGGCGUAAUGAUGGCCAGGCUGUCUCCACCCGAGACUCAGUGAAAUUGAACUCGCUGUGAAGAUGCAGUGUACCCGCGGCAAGACGGAAAGACCCCGUGAACCUUUACUAUAGCUUGACACUGAACACUGGUCCUUGAUGUGUAGGAUAGGUGGGAGGCUUUGAAGCGUGGACGCCAGUCUGCGUGGAGCCAACCUUGAAAUACCACCCUUUAAUGGCUGGUGUUCUAACGUAGACCCGUAAUCCGGGUUGCGGACAGUGUCUGGUGGGUAGUUUGACUGGGGCGGUCUCCUCCCAAAGAGUAACGGAGGAGCACGAAGGUUGGCUAAUCCUGGUCGGACAUCAGGAGGUUAGUGCAAUGGCAUAAGCCAGCUUGACUGCGAGCGUGACGGCGCGAGCAGGUGCGAAAGCAGGUCAUAGUGAUCCGGUGGUUCUGAAUGGAAGGGCCAUCGCUCAACGGAUAAAAGGUACUCCGGGGAUAACAGGCUGAUACCGCCCAAGAGUUCAUAUCGACGGCGGUGUUUGGCACCUCGAUGUCGGCUCAUCACAUCCUGGGGCUGAAGUAGGUCCCAAGGGUAUGGCUGUUCGCCAUUUAAAGUGGUACGCGAGCUGGGUUUAGAACGUCGUGAGACAGUUCGGUCCCUAUCUGCCGUGGGCGCUGGAGAAUUGAGGGGGGCUGCUCCUAGUACGAGAGGACCGGAGUGGACGCAUCACUGGUGUUCGGGUUGUCAUGCCAAUGGCACUGCCCGGUAGCUAAAUGCGGAAGAGAUAAGUGCUGAAAGCAUCUAAGCACGAAACUUGCCCCGAGAUGAGUUCUCCCUGAGACUUUAAGUCUCCUGAAGGAACGUUGAAGACGACGACGUUGAUAGGUCGGGUGUGUAAGCGCAGCGAUGCGUUGAGCUAACCGAUACUAAUGAACCGUGAGGCUUAACCUUACAACGCCGAAGGUGUUUC
rnacentral:rRNA from 1 species